CCUACGGGAGGCAGCAGUAAGGAAUAUUGGUCAAUGGACGCAAGUCUGAACCAGCCAUGCCGCGUGAAGGAUGAAUGCCCUCUGGGUUGUAAACUUCUUUUAUAGGGGACGAAAAAGGGUCUUUUUAGAUCAACUGACGGUACCCUAGGAAUAAGCACCGGCUAACUCCGUGCCAGCAGCCGCGGUAAUACGGAGGGUGCAAGCGUUAUCCGGAUUUACUGGGUUUAAAGGGUGCGUAGGUGGGUUGGUAAGUCAGCGGUGAAAUCUUCGAGCUUAACUCGGAAACUGCCAUUGAUACUAUCAGCCUUGAAUAUCCUGGAGGUGAGCGGAAUAUGUCAUGUAGCGGUGAAAUGCUUAGAUAUGACAUAGAACACCAAUUGCGAAGGCAGCUCACUACGGGAUUAUUGACACUGAGGCACGAAAGCGUGGGGAUCAAACAGGAUUAGAUACCCUGGUAGUCCACGCCCUAAACGAUGGAUACUCGACAUUUGCGAUAUACAGUAAGUGUCUGAGCGAAAGCAUUAAGUAUCCCACCUGGAAGUACGAUCGCAAGAUUGAACUCAAAGGAAUUGACGG
rnacentral:rRNA from 1 species